rnacentral:rRNA from 1 species
UGGGGAAUAUUGGACAAUGGGCGAAAGCCUGAUCCAGCCAUGCCGCGUGUGUGAAGAAGGUCUUCGGAUUGUAAAGCACUUUAAGUUGGGAGGAAGGGCAUUAACCUAAUACGUUAGUGUUUUGACGUUACCGACAGAAUAAGCACAGGCUAACUCUGUGCCAGCAGCCGCGGUAAUACAGAGGGUGCAAGCGGUAAUCGGAAUUACUGGGCGUAAAGCGCGCGUAGGUGGUUUGUUAAGUUGGAUGUGAAAUCCCCGGGCUCAACCUGGGAACUGCAUUCAAAACUGACUGACUAGAGUAUGGUAGAGGGUGGUGGAAUUUCCUGUGUAGCGGUGAAAUGCGUAGAUAUAGGAAGGAACACCAGUGGCGAAGGCGACCACCUGGACUAAUACUGACACUGAGGUGCGAAAGCGUGGGGAGCAAACA